rnacentral:misc_RNA from 1 species
AAACCUUUUAGAAGCCAAUCUACUAUUUCUUCAACUCCAUCUGUUUCCAAUUAAUCAAAUCAAUAUGCCAAACCUGAUCAGUCCUAUCAAUACCCUUUGAGACCACCCAAUUCUUACAAAACAAAUCGUGCAACUGCUAAAACCCAAGUUAUCAGCAACUCUUCCAAUCCACCACUUAUCACUAGUUUAUCUACAGCAUCUAAACCAGCAAAUUCUUCUUUAAAACCUAUCAAGAAUCAAUAUAAGCCUUGUUAUAGAUGUGGGGAAAAUUAUUUUCUAGGGCAUCAAUGCAAGCAAAAAUCAUUAAACGCAAUAUAUGCUGAAGGGAAGGAAGAUGAUGGGUGUGAAGAGAAGUGGUUUGAAGCAGGAAUGAAGCUAAAGGAGGGAGGGGAUUUGGGAGAUGAUACUUUGUCAGUGCAUGCAUUAGACAAUAAUCAUGGAAUUGAUACCAUAAGGAUGUUAGGGAUACAUAAGAAUAGGCAACUGGUGAUAUUAAUUGAUAGUGGCAGUACUACUAGUUUCCUUGAUAAAAGAAUUGCUUGAGAGUUGAAAUUUGAAUAGGUGAAUACACCAUAUAUUGCUAUUACAUAGCUAAUGGGAGGAAUUUAGGGUGUGAUUUAAAAUGUUAGCAAGUGGAAAAUGGAGAAUUGUGAGUUUAAUUUUGACUUGAAGAUUUUAGAUUUGGGUGGAUUUGACAUGAUAUUAGGAGUUGAUUGGCUAAAAAAGCAUAAUCUAGUACUAUCUGAUCUUGAGGUAUGUGCAAUUACUCUUACCAUGGAAGGGAAAUCAUGGGUUUUACAUAGAAUUUGGGAAGGUAUGUUGCAAUCUGGCUUGUGGCAUUCUGCGAACAUAUUUGAUAAAGGUGGUGAGGAUUUUCAAACUCCUUUAUUUUG